CCUACGGGGGGCUGCAGUGGGGAAUAUUGCACAAUGGGGGAAACCCUGAUGCAGCGACGCCGCGUGAGUGAAGAAGUAUUUCGGUAUGUAAAGCUCUAUCAGCAGGGAAGAAGAAAGACGGUACCUGACUAAGAAGCCCCGGCUAACUACGUGCCAGCAGCCGCGGUAAUACGUAGGGGGCAAGCGUUAUCCGGCUUUACUGGGUGUAAAGGGAGCGUAGACGGCUGUGCAAGUCUGAAGUGAAAGCCCAGGGCUCAACCCUGGGACUGCUUUGGAAACUGUGGAGCUAGAGUGCUGGAGAGGUAAGUGGAAUUCCUAGGGUAGCGGUGAACUGCUUAGCUAUUAGGAGGAACCCCAGUGGCGACGGCGGCUUACUGGACAGUAACUGACGUUGAGGCUCGAAAGCGUGGGGAGCAAACAGGAUUAGAUACCCUAGUAGUC
rnacentral:rRNA from 1 species